AUUGAACGCUGGCGGCAGGCCUAACACAUGCAAGUCGAGCGGAUGAAGGGAGCUUGCUCCUGGAUUCAGCGGCGGACGGGUGAGUAAUGCCUAGGAAUCUGCCUGGUAGUGGGGGAUAACGUCCGGAAACGGGCGCUAAUACCGCAUACGUCCUGAGGGAGAAAGUGGGGGAUCUUCGGACCUCACGCUAUCAGAUGAGCCUAGGUCGGAUUAGCUAGUUGGUGGGGUAAAGGCCUACCAAGGCGACGAUCCGUAACUGGUCUGAGAGGAUGAUCAGUCACACUGGAACUGAGACACGGUCCAGACUCCUACGGGAGGCAGCAGUAGGGAAUAUUGGACAAUGGGCGAAAGCCUGAUCCAGCCAUGCCGCGUGUGUGAAGAAGGUCUUCGGAUUGUAAAGCACUUUAAGUUGGGAGGAAGGGCAGUGAGUUAAUACCUUGCUGUUUUGACGUUACCAACAGAGUAAGCACCGGCUAACUUCGUG
rnacentral:rRNA from 1 species